AGGAUCGCGGACACCACGCG
rnacentral:misc_RNA from 1 species